UACGUAGGGCGCAAGCGUUGUCCGGAAUUAUUGGGCGUAAAGAGCUCGUAGGUGGCUUGUCGCGUCUGCCGUGAAAGCCCAUGGCUUAACUGUGGGUCUGCGGUGGAUACGGGCAGGCUGGAGGCUGGUAGGGGCAAGCGGAAUUCCUGGUGUAGCGGUGAAAUGCGCAGAUAUCAGGAGGAACACCGGUGGCGAAGGCGGCUUGCUGGGCCAGUUCUGACGCUGAGGAGCGAAAGCGUGGGAGCGAACAGG
rnacentral:rRNA from 1 species